rnacentral:rRNA from 1 species
GAAUCUAAACCCCUUCCAGAGUAUCAAUUGGAGGGCAAGUCUGGUGCCAGCAGCCGCGGUAAUUCCAGCUCCAAUAGCGUAUAUUAAACUUGUUGCAGUUAAAAAGCUCGUAGUUGAAUUUCUGCUGUUUCGUUGACUGCGUUUGGCGUUUGUCAUCGUUGCGGCUUGGUUGGGUUUCGAUUAUUCGUUUCCCGGCGUUUACUUUGAGAAAAUUAGAGUGCUUGAAGCAGGCUUUUGCCUUGAAUACUUUAGCAUGGAAUAACGGAGUAGGACUUUGGUUCUAUUUUGUUGGUUUUAGGAGCCAGAGUAAUGGUUAAUAGGAACAGUUGGGGGCAUUCGUAUUUGACUGUCAGAGGUGAAAUUCUUAGAUUUGUCAAAGACGAACUACUGCGAAAGCAUUUGCCAAGGAUGUUUUCAUUAAUCAAGAACGAAAGUUAGGGGAUCGAAGACGAUCAGAUACCGU